rnacentral:misc_RNA from 1 species
GAAUAACAUGCGAUUUAGUAUUAUUUUGAAAUUUCAAAGAAUCAAAACCAACGCUCACACUCAUUAGUUAUUUUCAAAAUUUUAUCCGGACUUCAAAAGGUGGCCAGCAGCCAGUCGACCAGGCCAAUGAUGAUGCCUCAAUUUGUGUUCUGGAAGAGGGAUGCCAAGAAGAGCCAGCUGGAGCAGAUCUCGCCCAUCUGGAGGGAUUUGAAUGCAACAUUUGUGACGGUCCUUAGCUGGAGUUGGCUCAUCUACGCAUUUUCCGCACUGGUUAUCAUCACUUGUGCAUAUUUCGCAUAUUGUGAGCGCUGCCGAAGAACUGAAUCAGUGCGACGUCGACGGGUGAUUCAAAGAGCUCAAGAGCGACCGCCACAAAAGCGACGACCGAAUGCGGCCUAUCGGGAUCACCAGAUCUACCGCCACAUCAUCCUCAGCGUGGCCAAGUACAUGAAGAAUCCGGAUGGCAUUCGACCCUUUAUAGAACACAUGGAGCAGCUAUAUCCACUGAGGCACAACUCGGCCGAUCAGCAGCAGGUGGCCGAACCAAGUACUGGAGAAGAUUAGAGAUCAGUUCUUGCCUGUUGCAGCCAAAGAGUUAGCAAACAAAGUGAUAAAGACAAAGUGUUCAAGACAAAAUGUAAUAAAUACCCAUUAAAUAUUAUACAAGAAAUCAACUUAAUACUCAACCGAUCAACUGGAAAAACUGAGCAAUGUCAAGGCAAAGGUUCUCAACAGGAUGUCCCGUCUCAGAUGCGCACAAUUAGCUUAAAACGACAGCAGGACGCGGAGUUUCGACACCAACAACAGCAACAACAGCCAGAAUUUACAAGCAAAAGGAUAAUCACAAUCACCAAGCAGCGAAAUUAAAUAGCAAAACCGAUACUUAACAACCGAACUAUUAUCGAACUAUUUUAACAACUUAAAUGUAGCACAACAGAAGCCUUACAAAACAACAAAACCAUUUGUGCUGUGCUUUAAUUAUAGUCGAAAGAUAUUUCAACCAGCCCGAAAGAAAAAAAACCCCGAAAACCGCGUAAUUAUUACACAUUAAAUAGUUAAAUUAAUAAUCAUUAUUCUUCCA